UCACCCAGGAUAUAACAGGCUUUCUUUUCAAACAGAAACAAUGCUGCAAUAAGCAAGAAAACACCUAUCGCUAGGCCACUUCCAAGCCUUUUUCCUAAAUACAAAUCACAGUUAAAAGAAGUCAGGGAUUUCCACCUAAAACCAGGCUCAAGCAGCGACCUCAGAUCGAGAGGUUCUACUUAAGCUAACCAAGCACGUGGUCUUAACACAGAGCAAGCUUUUUAAAAAAGGAAAGAGGAGUGAAUAAGAAUCCAGGCCUCAAGAGUCCUUCCUUCAGAAUUAAUUACUGUAAUUUGAUGAGGGAGAAUCAAGUGACCGAGACAGGAAAGCAGUCCUACAAGAUUAUUGCACGAAGCAUUUCAAACGCAGGACCAGAUAACCCCAGGGAAACCAGGACAACAUGAAAGUCCAAAUUACUUGGGCCAAGAUACAAAGGAAAGAAUAAACCUAGAAAAUAAAUUCUGAGAACAACUUUUCUGCCAACCAGCUGAAAUAUGUAGCUUCUUACUCCCCUUGCCCAGUUCAUGUUCUUGGUAGGUUACCUAAUUUUAUUGUGAACUGUGCCUGCCUUCAACUCAGUUAAAUUUGCCUCUUUAUGCUUCUCAGAGCCCACUUAGAGUGUCACUUGGCGGCUACGGCAGAAGGAUUUCUUUUCCUGAUUUAUAUGGGUGUGAGGAUGGCGGUUAAGUGCUACUGCAAAAGAAGGAUGGCAAGGCACCCUGAUGCUUCUCCCAGCCUUAGGUAGACACGAGCAGAACGUCCAUUAAAAGCUACCAAUCCAAUCAGAACUAAUUGACAUGUUCUGCUACUAAUCUUAGCUUCCAGGGCCGGACCUGGUUAAUUCUUGGAGAAUCCCAAGCUAGACUGGGAAGUUAAAAAGACAUCCACAAGGCAAUGGCAAACCACUUCCACAAUGUCCAACGUCAUCAGGAGCCAAAGAAACCAGAAGUGUGCUUGGAACCUCCUCAGGAAUCAAGCCUGACUCAAAGACGACGUUACGUUUUUACUACAAGCAAGUGGAUAGCCAAGCAACAUUUCCUUGGGAACUGGCUUUUAAGCUUUAUCCAAAGGUUCACCUAAAACAGCAGAGGAAAAAGAUCAUAGGGCAACUCCUUUGAGGCACUGAACGUAGAAAAACAUUUGACGCUUGCAACUACUUUUUCAAUGCUGAUCAUUUCUACAGUG